AAGUCGAGCGGUAGAGAGAAGCUUGCUUCUCUUGAGAGCGGCGGACGGGUGAGUAAUGCCUAGGAAUCUGCCUGGUAGUGGGGGAUAACGCUCGGAAACGGACGCUAAUACCGCAUACGUCCUACGGGAGAAAGCAGGGGACCUUCGGGCCUUGCGCUAUCAGAUGAGCCUAGGUCGGAUUAGCUAGUUGGUGGGGUAAUGGCUCACCAAGGCGACGAUCCGUAACUGGUCUGAGAGGAUGAUCAGUCACACUGGAACUGAGACACGGUCCAGACUCCUACGGGAGGCAGCAGUGGGGAAUAUUGGACAAUGGGCGAAAGCCUGAUCCAGCCAUGCCGCGUGUGUGAAGAAGGUCUUCGGAUUGUAAAGCACUUUAAGUUGGGAGGAAGGGCAGUAACCUAAUACGUUGCUGUCUUGACGUUACCGACAGAAUAAGCACCGGCUAACUCUGUGCCAGCAGCCGCGGUAAUACAGAGGGUGCAAGCGUUAAUCGGAAUUACUGGGCGUAAAGCGCGCGUAGGUGGUUUGUUAAGUUGGAUGUGAAAUCCCCGGGCUCAACCUGGGAACUGCAUUCAAAACUGACAAGCUAGAGUAUGGUAGAGGGUGGUGGAAUUUCCUGUGUAGCGGUGAAAUGCGUAUAUAUAGGAAGGAACACCAGUGGCGAAUGCGACCACCUGGACUGAUACUGACACUGAGGUGCGAAAGCGUGGGGAGCAACAGGAUUAGAUACCCUGGUAGUCC
rnacentral:rRNA from 1 species